UACAGAGGGUGCGAGCGUUAAUCGGAAUUACUGGGCGUAAAGCGCGCGUAGGCGGCUUUGCAAGUCGGGUGUGAAAUCCCCAGGCUUAACCUGGGAACUGCAUUCGAGACUGCAUUGCUAGAGUGUGGGAGAGGGCAGUGGAAUUCCCGGUGUAGCGGUGAAAUGCGUAGAUAUCGGGAGGAACAUCAGUGGCGAAGGCGACUGCCUGGCCCAACACUGACACUGAUGAGCGAAAGCCAAGGGGAGCAAACGGG
rnacentral:rRNA from 1 species